CAGCCCUGGGCAGGUCUGGGGGUGCUGCGAAGUAGGGCACCGCAACAUAACGGCCCUGUGUCUUAGGUGGCCAGGAAGGGGAAGGCAGGAGAUACAGAAGGAAAGGAAACUAACAUUUUAUUGAGACAGGCAUUGUGCUGGUCCUGAGGUUUAUGCGAAGAUUAAUUUCUGGGGGUGAGAAGGUAAAAAAUGAUGAGGUGGAAACCAGCAUCUUCUGUUACUCCCAUCUGUGCAGAGUUAAAGAAGACUUGAAAGAAGGGGAUGUGAGUGGCAGGAAAAUCCCCAGUGACCGGCCCUGAACCUUCUGCCAGCGCAGCUCACCUCCUCCCCAAAUGCCUCCCAAUAGGAUCUCAGCCCUAAACAAGCACAGGGCGUGGGGUGGUACAGAUGAUGAUGUAGCUGCUUCUGAGAUGCCCCUGGGCGCUGCUGGAGCUGAGCCCUGGGACUGGAAUGACUUUUGCCCGCUGCCCUCAAAAUUCCCACAGGCCACACCGCUACCACCUCUUGGUUGAAUUGCAAAGCAAAGACCCAUAGAAGUGAACUGUGAUACCAGAAAUUCUCUGCCCAGCUUGAAGUUGUUGAUAUAUUAUAAUCCUUAUGUGUGACGUUAAUGGUUUUAGUAUAUAUUAUCUGCCAUCUAGCCUGUUUAUUUCAAAUAUAGCUUCUGAAUUCAUGGA